GGAGCUAACGCGUUAAAUCGACCGCCUGGGGAGUACGGCCGCAAGGUUAAAACUCAAAUGAAUUGACGGGGGCCCGCACAAGCGGUGGAGCAUGUGGUUUAAUUCGAUGCAACGCGAAGAACCUUACCUGGUCUUGACAUCCACAGAACUUUCCAGAGAUGGAUUGGUGCCUUCGGGAACUGUGAGACAGGUGCUGCAUGGCUGUCGUCAGCUCGUGUUGUGAAAUGUUGGGUUAAGUCCCGCAACGAGCGCAACCCUUAUCCUUUGUUGCCAGCGGUUCGGCCGGGAACUCAAAGGAGACUGCCAGUGAUAAACUGGAGGAAGGUGGGGAUGACGUCAAGUCAUCAUGGCCCUUACGACCAGGGCUACACACGUGCUACAAUGGCAUAUACAAAGAGAAGCGACCUCGCGAGAGCAAGCGGACCUCAUAAAGUAUGUCGUAGUCCGGAUUGGAGUCUGCAACUCGACUCCAUGAAGUCGGAAUCGCUAGUAAUCGUAGAUCAGAAUGCUACGGUGAAUACGUUCCCGGGCCUUGUACACACCGCCCGUCACACCAUGGGAGUGGGUU
rnacentral:rRNA from 1 species